CACAAAUUGCUCCAGAUUGCUCCAUUCGUGUCGCCGAGCAAUUAUUGCUGUAAUUAUUGCCCGCGUAAGCGCAUCUUAAGUUGUGGUCUGGCUG